AGGGUGCGUCACCGGAGCAGAUGCCCGGGGCGGUUGGAGGCUCCCGGGCUCCCGCUGACUCAUCAGAAAGGCCUGCCGCGCGGCCCGGGGGGCGGGGGAACGUGGGGGACCGCGGGGAGCUGCCGGGCAGGCGGCAGCCGAGGUCGUUUGAGGCGCGCAGAGCCGGAAAACCCCACGGAGACGGCUGGGCGGGGGCGGGGCGAUCGGCACUGACCAGGUCACCUGCAGCGCGGGCUGACGGCGGGCGACUGAAGGAGGGAGCAAGUCUCCCACCCCCAGCAGCCGGCGGCCGCUUCCGAAGUCUGCCCCCUUCCACUGCGGAGCGGCGCCCCGCGGGCCCCCAGCCAGCGCGCCCGAGGCGCCCCCGCCCCGUGUCGCUCGCGCUGCGUUAUUGGGAGAAGGCGGUUCCUGAGCACCAGCACGGGCCUCGGUGACACCGGAGGUCGCUGGGGUCUUCCCCUUCCCCUUAAGACUCUGGGUCUGUCUGUGGGAAGAGCUUUCAUUCCCCACCCCACUCUAUGCCGACCCUCUCCGGGGGAGGCUCCACUGGCACUGUAGACACCACGUGCUGGGUAAAAAGGCCUGGUCCCAGCGCUUCCCUGUCACUGACUGCUAACCACAAGGCGCCGUGGCACUCAGGAAAUGCGGCAGGGGGGCUGGAGAACUAUCAGGAAGGGGUGUGGGCAGAGAAGAGGCUUCCACCCUGUCUUGGAACACGGACACAGUCCAUGGCAUUCAAAAGAGGUGGGAGGCUCCUCUGUGCACGUGCCUUCCGCCCCCGGGACAGGUGGAGGAGGGGAUUUGACUGGUCCUCACCCUCUGCAUUUAUAGUCUGGGCACACCUUGGGCAGUGCCGCAGGAGGGCGCUGUGGAGUACAGGCACAUGCAGAAGGUGUGGCGAGGGCUUCCUGGUGGAGCUGGCAGUAGGGCAGGGACCUUGAAAAGGAAUGAUUUGAACAGAUCGGAAAAGACAUUCCAGACAGAAACAAAUGCCUGAAACCCAAACCGAGAAGCAGGAAAGAGCAGACUGCGUUCUCGGAAUGGCAGGGAGUCCAGUUUGACUGGAAGACCUGAGGCUCAGAGGCGCAUCACGGCCCAGAUGCAGACCACAGAGGCAGGCACAGUGGCCCAGGAGGACCGAGGACCUGGAGUCACGGGGUUCCGCCCGCUGCCCCUGGGGAACCGAGUCAUGCCAGUUCCCAGACAGAUGAAUUCCUUCCAAGAAUUCCACAGUCCUGCUCAAUCCUAGCCGCCAAGCCUCCUGGCCUUGGAUGGCUGCUGUCUAAUGCAGAUCCUCUUUCAUCCAGAUUUCAAAUAUUUUUCCUAUUCUGUCCUUUGAUCACUAACGUUUAUGUUUAUCUACAUCAGCAUCCCUCAAUCCUGACGGCACUCUGAAAUUAUCUAGGGGUGCUUUAAAAAAGAAAAAUGUUGAUGCAUGGCCCUCCUCCAGGAAAUCUGAUUUUAUUGGUCUGGGGUGGGGCCCAGGCAUCAGCAGACUUUUAAUGAGCAGUUAGAGAGGAGAACCACUGAUGGAGAUGGUCACCAGGGAGUGUCCAGGUCAGACCGCCACAGAAGAGUGCAGCCUCCUGGCCUUCAGACCCAACUGGGACAAACCCUGAGAACAGCCUUGGCAGACCUCCAGGGGCAGCUGGACUCCCUGAGGCUGGAUGUUGCAGCCUCUCCCAGGCAUCCACUCUGCAGCUGAGGCCAAAGUUUCCAACGGGAAGGGAGGGAGAGUCUCCGAGUCUGGGCCUUGCCACUCCUCACUCAGCAUCUGACCAUCCCCACCUCCUGGAUCUACAGGGUUCAUAGAGGAGGACCCAGAAGAGGGAAAGUCAGGCUGAGGAACUUGGCCUCCCUGCUGCAAGGGAAAUGACAUCGGUUACCAAGGAGGUGACCAGCUAUCCUUUUCCAAGACUGAAAAGCAGAAAUACGGCCCUGAGGCUAGAGGGUCUAAGAGAACAAUAGGAAGAAUUUCCUGACAAAGGACAAUGUUGCCUAAAGGACUCAGGAAGCUCUGUGAAAACAGGAGACUCCCGAGCAGAGCACCAGACCCUUCUCCACCAGGCAGUGUUUUUCCCAUAUGACAGGUGAGAAAACUGAGGCUGAGAGACAUGUAAUAACUUGCUGAAGCAGCAACCAGCACACCAUAUAGCUGAAAUCUGUAGAUCAGCAGUUAAAAGUGGUAGGGCAAGUCCUCUCUGACUUUCAGCGCUAAGAGCCUAGGAUUCUGUGUUUUUCUGCUUAAGCCUGGGAAUCAGAGUCCUACAAAAGCCGCGCCUAAUCCUGGGGGUGUGGGCUUUAAACCCAGAGAGAAAGCAUGUUAUUGGAAUACUCCUGCACUUUUCUCCCUUUGAAUCCCACCACGGAAAGAAAAUUCUGUGACGUGUACCCAGUAUUUAUUGGAGGGUAUUUCCUAGCAAGAAAAUGAGGGCGAUUGACCAGGCACGGUGGCUCACGCCUGUAAUCCCAGCACUUUGGGAGGUCAAGGUGAGUGGAUCACAUGAGGUCAGGAGUUCGAGACCAGCCUGACCAACAUGGAGAAACCCCGUCUCUACUAAAAAUACAAAAUUAGCCGGGCGUGGGGUGGCGCAUGCCUGUAAUUCCAGCUACUCCUGAGGCUGUGGCAGCAGAAUCGCUUGAACCCGGGAGACAGAGGUUGCAGUGAGUUGAGAUCAAGCCAUCGCACUCCAGCCUGGGCAACAGAGUGAGACUCUGUCAAAAAAGAAAGUGUGGUACAUCUAUACUAAUGGAGUACUAUUUAGCCGUCAAAG
rnacentral:lncRNA from 1 species